AUGGACCGCUGCCGCCACACCGACCCCGCGCGCCGGCCAAGGGACGGCCACAAGGUGGUGAUCGAGUCGCCGGAGAUGGAGCAUCAGAUGUUCCUCCUCCGCCGCCAUGCCGUCCUCCUCAUCUCCACGGCCGAGCGACACGCGGCGAGCCCCAUGUCCGUCGGUCGCGCCUUCGACGCUGUUCUCCGCACCCCGGCGCACCUGCUGUGAGUGACCAGCCACGACCCGAAGGACUUCCUCGUCCACUUCGAGCUGCCGGCGCACCGGGACAACGCCGUCUGCCUGGGCUCCAUCAACGUCGAUGGUGUCGCCUUCACCAUCAAGCCGUGGCACGAGGACGUCCACGCCGACAAUGAAGACUUCCUCCUCCAUGUCCGCGUCGUCAUCGAGAAGAUGCCCAUGCACCUGUGGUCCGUUGACGUUGCGGCGGGGGUGCUCGGCGACAAAUGCAUCAUCGACCGGCUCGACAGCCGCACGCACGAGCGCGGCCACAUGCGGACAUUCGCGUGCUGGGUGUGGGUGUACGACGUCGCCUUCAUCCCCACCAAGCACACCAUCUGGCGCGCGGCGCGUGGUGCCGGCCGCGUCGAGGCCAUGCUGGGCUUCUCGCCGCCCAGCCGUGAGGUCCCCCCAUCCACCACGCGUCCGGCGCAACGUUAUGCUCAUCCACGUCGACCGCGUUGA
rnacentral:rRNA from 1 species